rnacentral:rRNA from 1 species
UUGGACAAUGGGCGAAAGCCUGAUCCAGCAAUGCCGUGUGCAGGAUGAAGGCCUUCGGGUUGUAAACUUCUUUUGUACGGAACGAAAAAGCUUCUCCUAAUACGAGAGGCCCAUGACGGUACCUUAAGAAUAAGCACCGGCUAACUACGUGCCAGCAGCCGCGGUAAUACGUAGGGGGCUAGCGUUGUUCGGAUUUACUGGGCGUAAAGCGCACGUAGGCGGGUCGUUAAGUCAGGGGUGAAAUCCCGGAGCUCAACUCCGGAACUGACUUUGAUACUGGCGACCUUGAGGCUGGAAGAGNUUAGUGGAAUUCCCAGUGUAGAGGUGAAAUUCGUAGAUAUUGGGAAGAACACCAGUGGCGAAGGCGGCUAACUGGUCCAGAUCUGACGCUGAGGUGCGAAAGCGUGGGGAGCAAACA